rnacentral:rRNA from 1 species
CAUUAAUUUAAUUUUAAUUUUUAAAUAUAUUAAAUAAAAAAGAAAAUUUAAAUUAAUUUUAAAUAAUUAAGAUUUAAAUUUAAAAUUUUAAAUGGUAAAUAAUAUAUAAUUUUAAAUAUGUAUUAAAUUUUAAAAAUUUAAUUAAAAAAAUUUUAAAAUAUUCAAAUAUAUUUUAUUAAUUAUUUAUGACAUAAUAAAAUUAAUUUAAAAAUCAAUUUAAAUAUAAUAAAAUUAUUAUGAAUAAAUAGAUUAAUUUAUUAAGUUAUAAAUUAAAUUCAUUAAAUAUUAUAUUUUAACAUUAUGUGGAUUAAAUACAUUUUAAUAGUAAUAGAUACACCAAGCAAACUCUACACACUAAUAAGUUCAUUAUCUAGAUAAUUAAUAUAAUAAUAAACCUUAAAUCAACACGCUGGGAAAUUGCAUGCUAAAACAUAAAUUCCAUGGGAAUUCAAAUAACACAUUUGAAGCUAACCAUUUACAUGAGUGUUCUCAUACCAGCCAGGAAUUCAUUAGUUACCUCUGGCUAUAGGAAAUUGUUAGUGGCAGACGGGUGAGUAAUGCGUAGGAAUCUACCUAGUAGUACGGAAUAGCCAUUAGAAAUGGUGGGUAAUACUGUAUAAUCCCCGAGGGGGAAAGAUUUAUCGCUAUUAGAUGAGCCUACGUUAGAUUAGCUAGUUGGUGAGGUAAUGGCUUACCAAGGCUAUGAUCUAUAGCUGGUCUGAGAGGACGAUCAGCCACACUGGAACUGAGAUACGGUCCAGACUCCUACGGGAGGCAGCAGUGGGGAAUAUUGGACAAUGGGCGAAAGCCUGAUCCGGCUAUGCCGCGUGAGUGAAGAAGGCCUUCGGGUGUAAACCCUCAUA